rnacentral:rRNA from 1 species
UACGAAGGGUGCAAGCGUUAAUCGGAAUUACUGGGCGUAAAGGGUGCGUAGGCGGUUAUUUAAGUCUGCCGUGAAAUCCCCCGGGCUCAACCUGGGAAUGGCGGUGGAUACUGGAUAGCUAGAGUGUGUCAGAGGAUGGUGGAAUUCCCGGUGUAGCGGUGAAAAUGCGUAGAGAUCGGGGAGGAACAUCAGUGGCGAAGGCGGCCAUCUGGGACAACACUGACGCUGAGGAGCGAAAAGCAUGGGGAGCGAACAGG